UAAGACGAACCGUGCGAACGUUGUUCGGAAUCACUGGGCUUAAAGGGCGCGUAGGCGGGCAGUCAAGUCAGGGGUGAAAUCCCACGGCUCAACCGUGGAAGUGCCUUUGAUACUGGCUGUCUCGAGGGAGGUAGGGGCGUGCGGAACUUCCGGUGGAGCGGUGAAAUGCGUAGAUAUCGGAAGGAACGCCGGUGGCGAAAGCGGCGCGCUGGACCUCUUCUGACGCUGAGGCGCGAAAGCCAGGGGAGCAAACGGGAUUAGAUACCCCGGUAGUCCUGGCCCUAAACGAUGGGUACUAGGUAGUGGACUUGACAUGGGUUCACUGCCGAAGCAAAAGUGUUAAGUACCCCGCCUGGGGAGUAUGGUCGCAAGGCUG
rnacentral:rRNA from 1 species